rnacentral:rRNA from 1 species
GAUGAACGCUAGCUACAGGCUUAACACAUGCAAGUCGAGGGGUAACGAGAGGAAAGCUUGCUUUCCUUGUCGACGACCGGCGCACGGGUGAGUAAUGCGUAUCCAACCUGCCCCCAACUAAGGAAUAACCUUGCGAAAGUAAGACUAAUACCUUAUAAUUUCCUCAGAUGUCAUCUGACGAGGAAUAAAGAUUUAUCGGUUGUGGAUGGGGAUGCGUCUGAUUAGCUUGUUGGCGGGGUAACGGCCCACCAAGGCAACGAUCAGUAGGGGUUCUGAGAGGAAGGUCACCCACAUUGGAACUGAGACACGGUACAAACUCCGACGGGAGGCAGCAGUGAGGAAUAUUGGUCAAUGGGCGGGAGCCUGAACCAGCCAAGUAGCGUGCAGGAUGACGGCCCUAUGGGUUGUAAACUGCUUUUAUACAGGAAUAAAGUUAGCCACGUGUGGUUAUUUGUAGGUACUUUAUGAAUAAGGACCGGCUAAUUCCGUGCCAGCCGCCGCAGUAA